rnacentral:rRNA from 1 species
UACGUAGGGUGCAAGCGUUGUCCGGAAUUAUUGGGCGUAAAGAGCUUGUAGGCGGUUUGUCGCGUCUGCUGUGAAAUUUCGGGGCUCAACCCCGAACUUGCAGUGGGUACGGGCAGGACUAGAGUGUGGUAGGGGAGACUGGAAUUCCUGGUGUAGCGGUGGAAUGCGCAGAUAUCAGGAGGAACACCAAUAGCGAAGGCAGCUCGCUGGGACGUUACUGACACUAAGGCGCGAAAGCGUGGGGAGCGAACAGG